GAAGAACGUGGAUCGGUCGUGAUCUACCUCUCCUCCGGGAGUGGCAGAGCACGCUCCGACACCUGAUAGCGAACGGUCGAAGUCCCUUCCCGGGACCUCAAGGACUCCGGUCCUCGAACCAUCCCGGGGAGACUCCAAAAACCGUAGCCCCCUCGGCGAAACAUCGAUCGAGGGAGGGAUCGCUCGUCGAUCCUUCCGAGAAACGAGAAUAACCUAGUCGACUACUUUCGACGACGGAUACCUCGGUUCCCACGCCGAUGAAGAGCGCGGCGAAACGCGAUAUGUCGUGCGAAUCGCAGAAUUCGGCGAAUCACGCAAUCCUCGAACGCAUCCGGCGCUCUCGGGUCUUCCCGGGAGCAUGCCCGUCUGAGCGUCGUUCCCAAAAAUCCCAACCCCAGAUGAUUAAAAACCAUCCGGGGAUGGGUGAUCGGGAGUCUGCAGCGAUGCAGUCUUCUGGGAACGAGGCGCACCUCCUCGAGCCCCAUCCGACGAUGAGGGAUCAGGUGCUUAGCUUCCGUUGAGAGCGCCUUUGGGUGCAACUCAUUUCGGGAGUGCUUGCCCUGAACCAUUCAACUCUCGUCGAUCUUGGGAUCAGCUCUCGGUUGGACAGACGCCGUCCGUGGUCCGUGAGACCAGGGUCGGAGGAGUCAAAUCCUCCCCUCUCUAACCACGACCUCAGAUCGGGCAAGAUUACCCGCUGAACUUAAGCAUU
rnacentral:misc_RNA from 1 species